rnacentral:tRNA from 1 species
GCCGAUGUAGCUCAGUUGGUAGAGCAACUCACUCGUAACGAGUAGGUCACCAGUUCGAUUCCGGUCAUCGGCA